AUACGGAGGGUGCAAGCGUUAAUCGGAAUUACUGGGCGUAAAGCGUACGUAGGCGGUUCGUGAAGUUAGAUGUGAAAGCCCCGGGCUUAACCUGGGAACUGCAUUUAAAACUGGCGGACUAGAGUUGAGUAGAGGGGAGUGGAAUUUCAGGUGUAGCGGUGAAAUGCGUAGAGAUCUGAAGGAACACCAGUGGCGAAGGCGACUCCCUGGACUCGAACUGACGCUGAGGUACGAAAGCGUGGGUAGCAAACGGGAUUAGAAACCCCGGUAGUCC
rnacentral:rRNA from 1 species